rnacentral:rRNA from 1 species
GACGAACGCUGGCGGCGUGCUUAACACAUGCAAGUCGAACGGGGUCCAACCAGUGGCAACACUGGGGAAGAUCUAGUGGCGAACGGGUGAGUAACACGUGAGAAACCUGCCCCGGACUCAGGAAUAACAGUGGGAAACCGCUGCUAAUACCAGAUGCCGUCGCAGCAUCACAUGGUGCAGCGACGAAAGAAUUUCGGUUCGGGAGGGUCUCGCGGCCUAUCAGCUAGUUGGUGGGGUAACGGCCUACCAAGGCAUCGACGGGUAGCUGGUCUGAGAGGAUGAUCAGCCACACUGGGACUGAGACACGGCCCAGACUCCUACGGGAGCAGCAGUGAGGAAUAUUGGUCAA